rnacentral:rRNA from 1 species
UACGGAGGGUGCAAGCGUUAAUCGGAAUUACUGGGCGUAAAGCGUGCGCAGGCGGUUUGUUAAGUCUGUUGUGAAAUCCCCGAGCUCAACUUGGGAAUUGCAAUGGAUACUGGCAGGCUCGAGUAUGGUAGAGGAAGGUGGAAUUCCCGGUGUAGCAGUGAAAUGCGUAGAGAUCGGGAGGAAGGCCGGUGGCGAAGGCGGCGCUCUGGAACGUUUCUGACACUGAGGCUCGAAAGCGUGGGGAGCAAACAGG